rnacentral:rRNA from 1 species
UGAGGAAUAUUGGGCAAUGCCCGCAAGGGUGACCCAGCAACGCCGCGUGGAGGAUGAAUGUCGUAAGAUUGUAAACUCCUGUUAGAGGGGAAGAAUAGUACCGGUUGGACCGGUAUAUGACUGUACCCUCAGAGAAAGCCCCGGCUAACUACGUACCAGCAGCCGCGGUAAUACGUAGGGGGCAAGCGUUGUCCGGAUUUACUGGGUGUAAAGGGCGCGCAGGCGGGAUAAAAAGUCAGUGGUGAAAUCCUACAGCUUAACUGUAGAACUGCCUUUGAUACUGGUGAUCUUGAAUAUCGUUGAGGUAAGCGGAAUAUGUCAUGUAGCGGUGAAAUGCUUAGAUAUGACAUAGAACACCGAUAGCGGAGGCAGCUUACUAAGCGAUCAUUGACGCUGAGGCACGAAAGCGUGGGGAGCAAACA